GCCUAUUCUAUAUUCUAAGAUAUAUGGAGAUAAUUUAUUAUCUGACAGUUCUGGAGGCCAGAAGUCCCACACGGAUCUCACUGAACUAAAAUCAGAGCGUCGGCAGGGCUGGGUUCCUUCUUGAGGUCUGUGGAGAAUGCAUUUCCACACCUCUCCCAGCUUCCAGAGGCUGCCUCCUUCCUCCAUCUUUAAAGUCAGCCACAGCGGGUGGAGCCCUUCUCAUUGCAUCUCUGGGACUUUUCUCCUCAUCUCUCGUCUCUUUCUCUCACCCAGCGGGGAAAGUUUCCGCUUUCGUGUUCUCCACUCAAGCAAUUAGCCCGGCGCCGCGGGAAUAAUCCAAGAUGAGAGUCCCAUCUCAAGGUCUGUAACUUCAGUCACAUCUGCAUAGUCACUUCGGCCAUCUACAGUAACAUAUUCACAGGUUCUCAGGAUUAGGGCACGGAUAUCUUUGGGGCUUUUAUUCUGCCCCUAAAUCCUUAAAUUUACAAGCCCCCAAGCCAGUGCCCACAGCAAGAUUUCUUAAAAGCCUCUUUUUCCUCUCCCCUCCACUUCUUCCGAAAGCUGCACCUGCUUUGGCAUCUCUUUCCUCAAUAUUCUCCACAAAAACUCUCACAGGCCCAGCCUCUAAGCUGCCUCCCUUAUCCUGGCGCCGCCUUCCUCCUGGGAAGAAAAAAACCCGCACAACGAAACCUCUCCAGUGGGCAGGAGAGCCCCCUCCUCCGGCUUCUGCCUGUUGUUGACGGACGCAACCAUCCUUCGCAACUUGGUUUCUAUGGGAAACCGGGUUAGGGCUGGGGUGCGGUCCACAGCGGACCUCGCGGCGGCGGUACCAGGCUGGGACAUCCACCCUUUGGACACCUCUGUCCCUCCGAUGCCCCAGUGAUGACCUAGGACAUGGGUCCCCAACUUCUGUCCCCUCUUAGACCCCGUCCUUCGCAGGGCCACUGGCUGCGACCACCUUGACCUGCGGCAGGACACCAGGAGAUCUCAGGUCCAGCCCGCGCCCCGACCAGCCCUUGAACAGUAUGUCCUGCCGCCCCUCCUCCCCCCUCCAGCGCCCGCUCUUCUUCCUCCGCGCCCGGCCCCUCGCGGGUCACCGGUCCCCUGCAGCCUCCGCCCCUGGCUGUGACCGCCCCGGCUGCCGUCUCCAGGGCGCGGACCGACGCGGGAAGCGGGUCGGCGAGGGACGGGGACACAGUGCGCCGAAAUCCAUGUGGAAUCCAACACUGGGAGACAAUGCUGCGAGCGAAGGAAGGAAGACAAAAAGCUAAAGGAGCAGCCCUGCCCGUCGUUCCGAUUCUCCAGAAGUUCCUGAGAACGUACGAGAAGCACUGUGCACAGACUCGGACGUCCGUGUGCCCGGCCGUCAAGAGGGACCUGAAAGCCGGCAUUGACAAUGGACAGAUUCUCAGGAAGUUUAUACUUGUAAGACCUGAUGACUCCCCGCCAAGCAUCCCACCGAUUUCCUUGGAACCUUUGCUUAUGACAAUUCGAGAAGAGUGUUACACGCUGGGGAAAGAGAUCUGCAUCUGGGGCCUUCAACUGAGCAACCCAGAGAUUGCCAGACUCGCUUUGCUUCUGGAGUUGAAGGGGCGCAGCACCUGCCCGUUUACCACCCUAGAGCUCGUUGAUUGCAAGAUGGAUCCGUGGUCUCUCGGGAGACUUGGGGAGGCUCUGCAGUUCAGCAGUUUGCACUCUCUUGUCCUGGAUUACUGCAACUUUGGAAUUGAAGAAAUUGAGCGUAUUUUCUCAGGCCUGGAGAACAACCAAAGGCUCCAAGGCCUCAGCCUGCGUUACUGUGGUCCGGGGCCACGGAGCGGGCCGGCGCUGGGCUCGGUCGUAAGCCAGAGUGCUGUCCGUGAGCUGCACCUCGACGGCAAUUACUUGCAAUGUUCUGGAGCUCUGGCUCUGCUCAGACCCCUAGCAGAGUAUGCAGAGAUGCAGGGCAAAGGCUGGCCCACCACAUCCUCACCAGACGCCAGGAAUCCCCCUCAGCUGCUCGGAGUCAGCCACAGAGCAAGUUCAACUUUGAACCCGAUUACAAAGUCAUCUGGAGCUGUAACAGUGAAAACUACUUCAGGGAAGAAUAAGAGAAAGAAAGGAAUCAAGAAAAAAGUUAAAGGUUUGACUGAAGCUGGUCCUUGGUUAGUGAAAUUGCAUUUGGCAGAUAAUGGCAUAGAUGGAAAAGGAAACGAAGGAGAAAAAGGCUUCUUGGAAUUCACUCAGAUUUUAACAUGCCUGAUCAAAUACUCUGCCCACUUAAGGGAAAUUGACCUUGGAAACAACGGCCUGGGAGAAAGGGCUGCUGCUGACAUACUUGAAGCACUGCGAGCCAGAAAGGCAGGUAAACUGCCAGUCUUAAAACUUACAGUCACUCCUCAGAUCUCCUCAGACACCUUCCGAUCUAUUUGGAAAAAUAGCAAGAAAUCUUAUAUUACCCGUAAAAAGAAGAAAAAGGUUAAAAACUGACUAUGGAUGCCAUCUAUUUCUAUGGCCAACCAGAUAUGCCUAGAAAGAUAUUGCUUGUUCUAUAAUAAUAUUUUUCACUGUAACCAAGCCCCUUUCAAGUUCUAAAAUUUGACAAAACAAUUUUAUGAAAAUUCAAAGAAGUGUUAAUCCUAUCGUGCUUGUCAACUUCUAAAAUGUGAAUUUCACAAGUAGGCCUUAGAGAAAAUGGGUGGGAUUCUCUUCUGGAGCUUCUUCUCUUAUACAUGUGAAAUUUAUGAUUUGAAGGAAGUCAUGUUCUUUAUCUAAGACAGAAAGAAUCUUCUUUCAUAAAUAUAUCUAUAGUUGGGAACAAUAGUAAUUUUUGGAAAUAAUAACCACUUUAUAAAAGACAACAUCCCUCCAAAUGGGCAUCUCCUCCAAAUAAGGAAACUUCUGAUCACCAUACCCCCCAUGAAGAUGUCAGACAGAAAUGGAGGAAGUGUGGUUGAUGUAUGUAUGGAUGAUAAAUUGGAUUAGUUGAAUUUUAUAUGCCAGGACAAUAUGGUGCAGGAAUGAAAAGCAUGGACUGGGGAGUUAGAUGAACAAGAAUUCUUUGUGGAAACCAGCUGCUUUCCAAGUAUGUGACUUUGGGCAAGUCAAUUAACCUCAUUGUGCCUCAGUUUCCCUUUAUAUAAGAUACAGAUAAUAAUAGCAUCUAUCUCAUUUGGUUAGCAUUGAAUGAGAGGACACAUGGCAAGCAUUUUAGGUCAAUACUUGUUUCAUAGUACAUGCUCACAAAUAAAUAUUAGUGGCUCUGAUUAUUGCUGUUAUUAUUGUUGAUGUUAGAAUUGAGUGAUUCCAGUUAUUUCUCUUAGGACAGCUACACAAGAAAAAUAGAAAAGAAAAAAAGAUGAAGACUUAGGACCUCUGUAUUUUGAAGUAAAGAAAAAAAAGUCAUUCAUUCUAUGUACAAAUGUAACAAGCACUGGCAAGUUCAUGAAACCAAACUAACUGUGGGGAUGGGUAUAGUAAAUUAUGUCUCCUCUUGAGGAUCUUAGCAUCUAGCUAGGAAGACAAGAUCCUCACACAUUAAAAGUAAACAAUAAUAGAGCAUAAGAGUUGAAAUAAUAUGUCAUUAUCGAGGGUAACAAAGGCUAUAGAGUAGUGAGAUCAAUUUAGCAAAUCUCCAGAAUUUAAAUAUCCAAUGUGUGAGGCCUCCUGAGAAAUUAUUCCUGAUUUAAAAAAAAAAAUUUGGAAAAAAAAUGGAAAUUUGCCACUGACAUCCACUGGGUGAGAGUUUAAAAUCUGUUUCUCUUUAGGGGUCUUUUGGCCGUGUCUAUCAAAAUGAAAAAUACAUAGCUUUUGACCCAGAUAUUCUACUUCUAGAAAUUUAUUUUACAGAUACACUCUCACACUGUGCAAAGAAAUAUACAUGAGGAUAUUCACUGAGGCACUGUUUAUUAUACACUGGAAACAACUAAAUGUUCUCAGAGGAUUCUCAGGGAAAUAAAUCACAGGAAAUAUAUGUGGUGGAAUACUAUGCAGCCAUCAAGAGGAAUAAUGUAGAUAUAUAAAUGCUUAUACAGAAAGACAAAGUAAUACUGUUAAACAAAAAGAGCAGUCUAGAGAAUAGUAUAUGUGAAAAACUCAUAUUAAAAGUGAAGUGAUGUAAUAUGAGCCAGCAAUUUCACUUCUGAGUAUACACACAAAAGAAUUGAAAGCGGGAUCUUGAAGAGCUAUUUGUAUAUCUAUGUUCAUAGCAGCAUUAUGCACAAUAGUCAAAGGUGGAAGCAACCCAAAUGAAUGGAUAAACAAAAUAUGGUCUAUACAUACAAUGGAAUAUUAUUCAGCUUUAAAAAGGAAGGAAAUUCUGACACAUGCUACAACAUGGAUGAACCUUCAGGACAUCAUGCUAAGUGAAAUAAACCAGUCACAAAAAGACAAAUACUGUUUGAUUCCACUUAUAUGAGAUAUUGAGAAUAGUCAAACUCAGAAACAGAAAGUAGGAUGGUGGAUGCCAGGGGAAGAGGAGAGGGAAAUGGAGAGUUGUUUAAAGGGUAUAGAGUUUCAGUUUUGGAAGACGAAAAAGUUCUGGAGAUUGGUUGUGUUAACAAUGUGAAUGUACUUAAUACUAUUGAACUGUACACUUAAAAAUGGCUAGGAUGGCAAACUUCAUGUUAUGUGUAUUUUACCAAAAUUAAAAAUUUUUUUAAUGAGCUG
ensembl:lncRNA